rnacentral:rRNA from 1 species
AGACAGGUGGUGCAUGGUUGUCGUCAGCUCGUGUCGUGAGAUGUUGGGUUAAGUCCGCAACGAGCGCAACCCCUACGUUUAGUUGCUAACGCGUGAAGGCGAGCACUCUAGACGAACUGCCGUUGACAAAACGGAGGAAGGUGGGAUGACGUCAAAUCAUCAUGCCCCUUAUGUUCUGGGCUACACACGUGCUACAAUGGCCGGUACAGACGGACGCAAAGCCGCGAGGUGGAGCAAAUCCUAAAAAGCCGGUCUCAGUUCGGAUUGCAGGCUGCAAUUCGCCUGCAUGAAGUCGGAAUCGCUAGUAAUCGCAGGUCAGCAUACUGCGGUGAAUACGUUCCCGGGCCUU